rnacentral:rRNA from 1 species
GAGCUCGAUGAGUAGGGCGGGACACGUGGUAUCCUGUCUGAAUAUGGGGGGACCAUCCUCCAAGGCUAAAUACUCCUGACUGACCGAUAGUGAACCAGUACCGUGAGGGAAAGGCGAAAAGAACCCCGGCGAGGGGAGUGAAAAAGAACCUGAAACCGUGUACGUACAAGCAGUGGGAGCACGCUUAGGCGUGUGACUGCGUACCUUUUGUAUAAUGGGUCAGCGACUUAUAUUCUGUAGCAAGGUUAACCGAAUAGGGGAGCCGAAGGGAAACCGAGUCUUAACUGGGCGUUAAGUUGCAGGGUAUAGACCCGAAACCCGGUGAUCUAGCCAUGGGCAGGUUGAAGGUUGGGUAACACUAACUGGAGGACCGAACCGACUAAUGUUGAAAAAUUAGCGGAUGACUUGUGGCUGGGGGUGAAAGGCCAAUCAAACCGGGAGAUAGCUGGUUCUCCCCGAAAGCUAUUUAGGUAGCGCCUCGUGAAUUCAUCUCCGGGGGUAGAGCACUGUUUCGGCAAGGGGGUCAUCCCGACUUACCAACCCGAUGCAAACUGCGAAUACCGGAGAAUGUUAUCACGGGAGACACACGGCGGGUGCUAACGUCCGUCGUGAAGAGGGAAACAACCCAGACCGCCAGCUAAGGUCCCAAAGUCAUGGUUAAGUGGGAAACGAUGUGGGAAGGCCCAGACAGCCAGGAUGUUGGCUUAGAAGCAGCCAUCAUUUAAAGAAAGCGUAAUAGCUCACUGGUCGAGUCGGCCUGCGCGGAAGAUGUAACGGGGCUAAACCAUG